GAUGAACGCUGGCGGCGUGCCUAAUACAUGCAAGUCGAGCGAACGGACGAGAAGCUUGCUUUUCUGAUGUUAGCGGCGGACGGGUGAGUAACACGUGGAUAACCUACCUAUAAGACUGGGAUAACUUCGGGAAACCGGAGCUAAUACCGGAUAAUAUUUUGAACCGCAUGGUUCAAAAGUGAAAGACGGUUUUGCUGUCACUUAUAGAUGGAUCCGCGCUGCAUUAGCUAGUUGGUAAGGUAACGGCUUACCAAGGCAACGAUGCAUAGCCGACCUGAGAGGGUGAUCGGCCACACUGGAACUGAGGCACGGUCCAGACUCCUACGGGAGGCAGCAGUAGGGAAUCUUCCGCAAUGGGCGAAAGCCUGACGGUGCAACGCCGCGUGAGUGAUGAAGGUCUUCGGAUCGUAAAACUCUGUUAUUAGGGAAGAACAUAUGUGUAAGUAACUGUGCACAUCUUGACGGUACCUAAUCAGAAAGCCACGGCUAACUACGUG
rnacentral:rRNA from 1 species